GCGUUUCCGUCCAGCACGGUGCCACGUUGGGGAUGCAUGAGGCCGAGCUGAAGAGUGUAUGAAGUUGCCCCUAGAGUCCUCCUAGAGAUUUUGUCUUUUGGCAGCUUAAACACUUGAGAAAUUAGCCAAACUACACAGACACUCGUGUGGGAACACUUAGUUGCACACCCCAACGCUUUGCCACAUAUACACACUGACAGAUGCAUACACACGCACACGCGUGUGUGUGUUUGUGACCCUCAGUGAGUAAAACCCUCUCUUUGAUUUUGAAAGGGACACCAAAAUCAUAUUCUUUGCUAUUUAAAGGAAUUGAUCAUUCAGGCCCCGCAGGUGUGUAAGACCGGAAUGCGAUCGGCAUUCUAACAAGGUCUACCCUCAUCCAUUUCAGAUAAUUAAUAAUUAUGGGUAAGCGCUGAGGUAGAUACGGGAUCAGACAUUCCCUGCCCCACCCUGGGCUCAUUAUCUAAGAGGCAGGGAGAGCAGGUAUCCCAUCCCCAUUUUACAGCUGGGGAAACUGAAACCCAGAGAGGGUAAGUGAUGUGCCCCAGGUUUAAAGGCAGUUAGAGGUUUCAAGUCAGAGCAUGGCCCAUUUCACUCGUUCCCAACAUUCUCCAUGCGAACCACAUCCUGUACUGUCCUGACACCGUGAGGAAUGAGGAACCACACACAUCCUGCCUUGGUCUGCUUCACUCGAGCUCCCCCCUCCCCGAUGUUAAGCAGGUCCUUCGACAUUCCCCCACCGCGCUAUUCCCUCUUGUCUGGGACCCCUGGAAAGUUCGAUAAAGACCAGUGGAGAGGUGAAUGAAGGAUGGACGGACGUACGUAUGGAAGGACGAAUGAAUACACGGAUGAACGAACGAAGGAGCCUGCAAAAAUUGCAAGAGCCAAAUUGGCUUCCUCCAGCUGAGGCCCAUCCCUAAGAGGGAGAUUUUCAGGUGUCCAGGGGUGGGGGUCCCCGAGGGGCUCGUCCUUGCUCACUCGGCUGGCCUCCACCUCCAGCUGUCGCUUUGACCGUUAGAAUAGCAAUAAUCCGAGGCCUUCGGCCCCUUGGCUUUGCCUUCCCCCGAGGAGGAGCUCCAAGCUCUGUCUUUAGUCCAGACCUAGACUGGCUUCUCAGCGAUUCCCUAUGCCUCCCUCGGACUGCACUUAUGCUAGGCUGAUUGGUGGCAGUGGGCCCUGAAGAGGGUAGUUGCCAUGGCAACAAGCCCCGAGCCUGUGCCAUUUCCAGUAAACUUUCACUUCCGGGCCGAAAGAUGGGACCCACUGGCACGAAAGGGGAGACUACCGGACGCGAUCGCACCGGUCAGAUGUACACUCCGACAGAUACCUUAGAGCAGCCGCGACCGUGACCGUUUGGGCAUCCACACCACCUGGAUUUCGCUAGCUUCAGGCUCCCCGCCACCCCCAAAACGGUCUGGAUAAAUCUGGCUCUUUGCAGUUACCUUUUUUUUUAUACGUGAGAAGGGCUCUUACACACCCGACUCCACUUCCGGUUGCUUGGCUCUCUGUUCUCCGGCCUCUGUUCGGCCCAAUAAACCUUUGAGUAGCUGAUA